CUUGGAUUCAUGGCUUUUGUUCCCUGAAUUUCGCUCUUGUUGCCCAGGCUGGAGUGCAAUGACGAGAUCUUGGCUCACUGCAACCUCCACCUCCCAGGUUUAAGUGAUUCUCCUGCCUCAGCCUCCCAAGUAGCUGGGAUUACAGGAAGAAAAAUGGAACUAAAAAGGGAAAACAAUAGCAACAAAGAUCAAAAUAAAUAACAAGGAAGCGGAGAGAAGAAAGAACAUGGUGAAGAGAGUGAAACGCAUUGUCAUUUGGGGUGAAUUGCAG
rnacentral:lncRNA from 1 species